ensembl:snoRNA
AUCCUUUUGUAGUUCAUAAGCGUGAUGAUUGGGUGUUCACGCCGUUGUGUGACAUGUGCCACCCUUAAACCUUGUUACGACGCUGGCACAUUACCCGUCUGACG